GAUGAACGCUGGCGGCGUGCUUAACACAUGCAAGUCGAACGGAAAGGCCCCUGCUUGCAGGGGUACUCGAGUGGCGAACGGGUGAGUAACACGUGGGUGAUCUACCCUGCACUUCGGGAUGAGCCUGGGAAACUGGGUCUAAUACCGGAUAUUCACGCCCCUUUGAUGUGGGGUGUGGAAAGAUUUAUCGGUGUGGGAUGAGCUUGCGGCCUAUCAGCUUGUUGGUGGGGUAAUGGCCUACCAGGGCGUCGACGGGUAGCCGGCCUGAGAGGGUGUACGGCCACAUUGGGACUGAGAUACGGCCCAGACUCCUACGGGAGGCAGCAGUGGGGAAUAUUGCACAAUGGGCGCAAGCCUGAUGCAGCGACGCCGCGUGGGGGAUGACGGCCUUCGGGUUGUAAACUCCUUUCGCCCACGACGAAGCCCCUCGGGGGACGGUA
rnacentral:rRNA from 1 species